AAAAUAUAUAUAUAUUAUUAUAUGUUAAUUUAUGAGGAGAGACAGUUAAAAAAAAUAACAGCAGAGGAAAUGGAUAAUAGAUUUAAUUCAAAUGAGUUUAAAAAAUGGGAGUUAAUUCCGUCCAAGUUUAUCAUUUUUUUUUCUUCUUUUACCUGAGAGUUUUAAGUAUAUUUACGUAAUAAUAUAAAUAUGUAGAAUCAAAGCCAGAACGUCGUGAUAAUAAAAUAUGAAUCAUCGCGGGAUUUAAAUAUAUACUUAAAAUAAAUCAGCAUUACGGUCUAAUAGCUACAGUUUCAAGGACAGGUAUCAAGGCUGCCAAGAAAUUAGAGUAUUCUUCAGAUACAAAGUCUGCAAGCGACGUACGAAUUUUAAAAUAUAAAAUAAUAUUAAGAAAAUACCAACGCCAUAUGGAUCGGUUUUUCUUGAUUUUUCACACUAUCCAGUUUGUUGAUCUUCCGCGAUCUCGAUUCAUUUUCAUUAACGUCCACAUCAAGUCUUGAGUACCCAGGCAUUUUAUAUUACACACACAUCACACUAGUAUCAUUUAAAACUCGUCUAUACGCCUCCUCUUAGUGGUCUUCCCUUUCUUCCGAGGCUUUUAUCUUUCUAUAGCUUCCUGUGUCAUCAGACCGAGUUAAUUAUCUCCGUUAGCACAGAUUUAUAAUUAAAACAAUUAUAUAUCACGUUAAAUUAUAUUCUAGCUACAGCACAUCACGAUAUGGAAAGUUUUAAACUCAGCUAUUGCAUGCGGACUUACCAGUUGGCAUUCACUUACAAUACUCAGUUAGAAGGGGUCAGGAGGACAGAGAGGACCCGAGAGGACUUGCCUCAAAUCCCCACAAUUUUUUUUUCAACAUGAAAACUAGUCAACUCCCACGCGAGCCAUCACUUCACCUUGUAAAUUUUUUCUGUGUACCGGCUAUCAAACUCAACUUCUACAGAUUUGCCGAUGAAAAAAAAAGAGUGAUAAUUUUUUUUAUUGUACGUCAAAUAAAAUUACAGGUGAAUAAUUUAAAACGAUGGAGCGAAUUAACGAAAUUGAUAAGAAAUUAAUUUUAUAAAUAAAUUGCAAGAAGAUAAUGAAGACAUUACAGUAUCCAUAGUAUCGGUUAUUUUUCUAAAAUAAGGAAUCAACACAAUACCUAAAGGUGACCGUUCUUUCUCAAGUGAUUCAAUACAAUCGUUUUGAAUUGUUAGGUGAGGAUGAGUGCACACGUCACUUAAAUGAUAAA